rnacentral:rRNA from 1 species
GACAGAGGGUGCAAACGUUGCUCGGAAUUACUGGGCGUAAAGCGCGUGUAGGUGGCCCCGCAAGUCAGGUGUGAAAGCCCUGGGCUCAACCCAGGAAGUGCACAUGAUACUACGUGGCUGGAGUACUGAAGAGGAGAGCGGAAUUCCCGGUGUAGAGGUGAAAUUCGUAGAUAUCGGGAGGAACACCAGUGGCGAAGGCGGCUCUCUGGGCAGAUACUGACGCUGAGGCGCGAAAGCUAGGGUAGCAAACGGG